rnacentral:tRNA from 1 species
AGCGAGGUAGAGCAGUUUGGAGUGCUCGUUGGGCUCAUAACCCAAAGGUCGUUCGUUCGAGUCGAACCCUCGCUA